CCUACGGGGGGCUGCAGUAAGGAAUAUUGGUCAAUGGAGGAAACUCUGAACCAGCCAUCCCGCGUGAAGGAUGAAGGGGCUCUGCCUUGUAAACUUCUUUUGUCUGGGGCGAAAAAGCUCGAUUUAUCGAGAACUGACGGUACCAGAAGAAUAAGCACCGGCUAACUCCGUGCCAGCAGCCGCGGUAAUACGGAGGGUGCAAGCGUCACUGGGAAUCACGGGGUCGAAAGCGGCUUUGUAAGUCUGUGGUGAACGGCUGUGGCUUAACCAUGGAAUUGCCAUUGAUACUGCAGAGCUUGAAUGAGGUUGAGGUUGGCGGAAUGUGACAUGUAGCGGUGAAAUGCUUAGAUAUGUCAUGGAACACUGAUUGCGAAGGCAGCUGACUGGACCUAUAUUGACGCUGAGGCACGAAAGCGUGGGGAGCGAACAGGAUUAGAUACCCCAGUAGUC
rnacentral:rRNA from 1 species